CAGGGCGUGACUAGGAGGACUCAUUUCUGGCUGGAAUGUCCGUCCACAAAGAUUCUCAGGCUCCUAAGGACGUUGCUCUGGUCCUUGUUAAUUUCAUGACGACUGUCUCCGGGAUUAGGUUCCUCAAAGGCUUGGGAAGGAUUUUUUUCCCCUCGUCAUUUUGCAGCUGGGAGCUAUGUAGAGUUCCUUCAUUUCAGGUGAUCUCACUGUCACCCUCCUCACUCCCCUGCCCCUAGGUCACUGGCCAGGCAAGGGAGGGCUUCCCCGAGGUUGCUUGGCUCCUCCUGCCUGUGGAGACUUCGGAAAUCAGAGGAUGGAGAAGCAGUAGCUAUUGGGCCAUCCAGCUGGUCGGGAGAGAACAGGAAGCUGAGGCAGGAGAGGAACGACACUGGGCUGAAGGGCUGGUCGCCAGCGCCCUCUCGCCGUCCACUUCGGAGCUCUGGUCCAGGAUUAGCCAGAGCUGCUAGCGGCCCCACAGCUGUAGCUCCAGUCUAUGUUCCUGGUAGGACGCGCCUUUUUGGAGGAAGCCGGGCGAGGAGCACCUCUCAGUGGCGUCAGCUUUCCGGCGGCGGGGUUGCGGUUUGGUCGCGGUUUGGUCAUCUGCAGGGGAAUUGAAGUAAAGAAACUCACAAAACAAUUAAGAAGAGCCACCAAAUCAUGUUGACACAUACCUUGAUACUUGGUAACUUCAGUGUGAAGGAAACAAAAGCAAGAGCAUAAAGCAAAAUUAGAAUCAGAACCUGAGCAACAGCAGUAACAUCUGCAUCUCCAGGAGAAUCAGACCCAGAGAAACGUCCAUCACAGCGAGCGCAGACAGCCCUGGUCGCUACCUUCAAGGACUCAGGCCUGGGUUGCCUGUCUGGGGGCCUGGAGCCUAUUCCCAAGAAGUUCCUGGGGUGAGCAGCAGACUUUCAGGGGAGCAAACACACCAAGCAAGCCCCCUACCCUUCAGAGUUUGUGGUGAUAGAAACCCCACCUGAAAAGGCUCUCUCUUUGGCCCCUGCACGGAAGUAGCUAAUACAAUGACUUCAAGCAAGCAACAGAGACUGGAGGAAAUAGAAAAACAGGAUGUGUACCUUCGGGAGAGGAUGAAGUACCGCUUCCACAUCAUUCCUGAUGGAAACUGCCUUUACCGGGCUGUCAGCAAGGCAGUCUAUGGGCACCAGGACCAGUACCAGGAGCUUCGAGAAAAGACUGUCAACUACAUGGCUAGGAACCUUGACCUCUUCAGACUCCUCAUUGAGGGUGAUGUGAAGGAGUUUCUCUUCAGAGCAGGACAGGAUAGCACAUGGGGUGGCUACCCAGAGAUGCUGGCCCUGGGGCACAUGCUCAAUGUCAAUAUUCAUUUAACUCUAGGAGGCAGUUUGGGGAAUCCUACUAUAUCCACAACCAUUCAUUCUUUAGGUCCAGAGGGCUCCCCCAGGAAAAGUAUUUGGCUAAGCUGGCUCAGUUAUGGGCACUAUGACACUGUACUGGAUUACUCCCUUCCCAUACUAGAGGAUGAUAAUUUUUUGUGUGGGGGAGACAACCUUUUCUUUCUUUUUUUGUUUUUCAUUAUAUUUUUGUUCCUUUUUAUUUUCGGUUCCAAAUCUUCUUCCUCCUC